rnacentral:misc_RNA from 1 species
AACGCACAUUGCGCCCCCCGGCAUUCCGAGGGGCAUGCCUGUUCGAGCGUCAGAACACCCCUCAAGCCUGGCUUGGUCUUGGGGCUCGCCGGCUCGGCGGCCCCUAAACGCAGUGGCGGUGCUGUUGUGCUCUCCGCGUAGUCAUGUAUCUCGCGACAGGGCGGCGACGGCACCCGCCAGAACCCCAAUUUUUGGAUGACCUCGGAUCAGGUAGGGAUACCCGCUGAACUUAA